rnacentral:rRNA from 1 species
AUUGAACGCUGGCGGAAUGCUUUACACAUGCAAGUCGAACGGCAGCACGGGGCAACCUGGUGGCGAGUGGCGAACGGGUGAGUAAUACAUCGGAACGUGCCCAAUCGUGGGGGAUAACGUAGCGAAAGUUACGCUAAUACCGCAUACGAUCUACGGAUGAAAGCGGGGGAUCGCAAGACCUCGCGCGAAUGGAGCGGCCGAUGUCAGAUUAGGUAGUUGGUGGGGUAAAGGCUCACCAAGCCGACGAUCUGUAGCUGGUCUGAGAGGACGACCAGCCACACUGGGACUGAGACACGGCCCAGACUCCUACGGGAGGCAGCAGUGGGGAAUUUUGGACAAUGGGCGCAAGCCUGAUCCAGCCAUUCCGCGUGCAGGAUGAAGGCCUUCGGGUUGUAAACUGCUUUGUACGGUAACGAAACGGUAGAGCUCUAAUACAGUUUGCUAAUGACGGUACCGUAAGAAUAAGCACCGGCUAACUACGUGCCAGCAGCCGCGGUAAU